GAUGAACGCUAGCGGCAGGCCUAAUACAUGCGAGUCGAACGAGAUUAAGAGGCUUGCUUCUUAUGAAAGUGGCGCACGGGUGCGUAACGCGUAUGCAACCUACCUUAAUCAGGGGGAUAGCCCGAAGAAAUUCGGAUUAAGACCGCAUAAAAACACAGGAUAGCAUUAUCCAAUGUUCAAAUAUUUAUAGGAUUAAGAUGGGCAUGCGUGUCAUUAGCUAGUUGGCGGGGUAACGGCCCACCAAGGCGACGAUGACUAGGGGAUCUGAGAGGAUGACCCCCCACACUGGUACUGAGACACGGACCAGACUCCUACGGGAGGCAGCAGUAAGGAAUAUUGGUCAAUGGAGGGAACUCUGAACCAGCCAUGCCGCGUGCAGGAAGACAGCCCUCUGGGUCGUAAACUGCUUUUAUUCGGGAAUAAACCUUUCUACGUGUAGGAAGCUGAAUGUACCGAAGGAAUAAGGAUCGGCUAACUCCGUG
rnacentral:rRNA from 1 species